AUUGAACGCUGGCGGCAUGCUUUACACAUGCAAGUCGAACGGCAGCACGGGGGCAACCCUGGUGGCGAGUGGCGAACGGGUGAGUAAUACAUCGGAACGUGCCCAGUCGUGGGGGAUAACUACGCGAAGGCGUGGCUAAUACCGCAUACGAUCUACGGAUGAAAGCGGGGGACCGCAAGGCCUCGCGCGAUUGGAGCGGCCGAUGGCAGAGUAGGUAGUUGGUGGGGGAAAGGCCUACCAAGCCGACGAUCUGUAGCUGGUCUGAGAGGACGACCAGCCACACUGGGACUGAGACACGGCCCAGACUCCUACGGGAGGCAGCAGUGGGGAAUUUUGGACAAUGGGCGCAAGCCUGAUCCAGCCAUUCCGCGUGCAGGAUGAAGGCCCUCGGGUUGUAAACUGCUUUUGUACGGAACGAAAAGGUGCUCUCUAAUACAGGGCGCUCAUGACGGUACCGUAAGAAUAAGCACCGGCUAACUACGUGCCAGCCGCCGCUGUAAUAC
rnacentral:rRNA from 1 species